AUUGAACGCUGGCGGCAUGCCUUACACAUGCAAGUCGAACGGCAGCACGGGUGCUUGCACCUGGUGGCGAGUGGCGAACGGGUGAGUAAUACAUCGGAACAUGUCCUGUAGUGGGGGAUAGCCCGGCGAAAGCCGGAUUAAUACCGCAUACGAUCUACGGAUGACAGCGGGGGACCUUCGGGCCUCGCGCUAUAGGGUUGGCCGAUGGCUGAUUAGCUAGUUGGUGGGGUAAAGGCCUACCAAGGCGACGAUCAGUAGAUGGUCUGAGAGGACGACCAGCCACACUGGGACUGAGACACGGCCCAGACUCCUACGGGAGGCAGCAGUGGGGAAUUUUGGACAAUGGGCGAAAGCCUGAUCCAGCAAUGCCGCGUGUGUGAAGAAGGCCUUCGGGUUGUAAAGCACUUUUGUCCGGAAAGAAAUCCUUGGCUCCAAUACAGUCGGGGGAUGACGGUACCGGAAGAAUAAGCACCGGCUAACUACGUG
rnacentral:rRNA from 1 species